UACAGAGGGUGCAAGCGUUGUUCGGAAUUAUUGGGCGUAAAGCGCGUGUAGGCGGCUUUGCAAGUCGGGUGUGAAAGCCCUCAGCUCAACUGAGGAAGUGCGCCCGAAACUGCAGAGCUUGAGUGCGGAGAGGGUGGCGGAAUUCCCCAAGUAGAGGUGAAAUUCGUAGAUAUGGGGAGGAACACCGGUGGCGAAGGCGGCCACCUGGACGGUAACUGACGCUGAGACGCGAAAGCGUGGGGAGCAAACAGG
rnacentral:rRNA from 1 species